rnacentral:rRNA from 1 species
GACGAACGCUGGCGGCGUGCUUAACACAUGCAAGUCGAACGGAAAGGCCCUGCUUUUGUGGGGUGCUCGAGUGGCGAACGGGUGAGUAACACGUGAGUAACCUGCCCUUGACUUUGGGAUAUCUUCAGGAAACUGGGGCUAAUACCGGAUAGGAGCUCCUGCUGCAUGGUGGGGGUUGGAAAGUUUCGGCGGUUGGGGAUGGACUCGCGGCUUAUCAGCUUGUUGGUGGGGUAGUGGCUUACCAAGGCUUUGACGGGUAGCCGGCCUGAGAGGGUGACCGGCCACAUUGGUACUGAGAUACCGCCCAGACUCCUACGGGAGGCAGCAGUGGGGAAUAUUGCACAAUGGGCGGAAGCCUGAUGCAGCAACGCCGCGUGCGGGAUGACGGCCUUCGGGUUGUAAACCGCUUUCGCCUGUGACGAAGCGUGAGUGACGGUAAUGGGUAAAGAAGCACCGGCUAACUACGUG